ACACGUAGGGGGCAAGCGUUGUCCGGAAUCACUGGGCGUAAAGCGCGCGUAGGUGGCGAUGCAAGUCAGAGGUGAAAACCGGCGGCUCAACCGCAGGCGUGCCUCUGAAACUGUAUGGCUUGAGGACAGGAGAGGGGAGUGGAAUUCCCAGUGUAGCGGUGAAAUGCGUAGAUAUUGGGAGGAACACCAGUGGCGAAGGCGACUCCCUGGCCUGUAACUGACACUGGGGCGCGAAAGCGUGGGGAUCAAACAGGAUUAGAUACCCUGGUAGUCCACGCCGUAAACGAUGGGUGCUAGGUGUUGGGGGUGUAGAAUCCCCCAGUGCCGUAGUUAACGCGAUAAGCACCCCGCCUGGGGAGUACGGUCGCAAGACUGAA
rnacentral:rRNA from 1 species